AGACGGCAGCCCGCGCCUCGGCAAGCUGCGCAAGUGCUACAAGUCCAGGACGCCGGAGAACCUGGAGGUGCCCUUCACGUCGAGCGAAAGUGGAUUCGACACCGAACCCGAGUCAUUGUCGACCUGCGACAACGAAGAAAUUAACAGAUUACAAGCUAAAAGUAGCAUUUUGGAACAAGUUCUCAUCCAGAACAACAUUCCUGUACCCAGUUACGAGGUAAGUG